AGUUUCGCUCGUGCAAGGAGCAGGCGCUGGAUUUGCAGGUGACUUUUUCCUGGAAUCGGUGUUGCUGAAUUAUCAGAGGGCUGCCCUGUCCUCAGUGUUUGUUUUGGUUGUCAUCUGAAAGAAAGAAAGUUGUUGAAUAAACUAAAGAAAUGCGCGCUGCUGUCUUCCUGGCCAUGGAUGAACCAGCUAGAGCGGAGACUUCCUGCAGGUGUUCCACGUAGACUUCACGCUUGCUGUCUUCCAGCCAGAGAUCAACUCACUAAAUGGCCUGGACAGCUGUGAGCAGGUGUCUCGUGAUUUGGGUAUCACUGAGACCGAUAUGAAUAGGACCACUCCUCUGCUACUUCAGCUUGUCAAGAGAGGCAGACACAGGGAGAAGGCAUCCAUCUUCUCAGCAGUAAAGACACACCAGUACACAGGGCUUAACAUUUUACUUACAUUUAUUCAUUCACAUACAUUAGCAUUUUCCUUUGCUCUCCAAAGCCGAAGCCUUGCUGAGUUGAUUGUGCUCUUAAAUGGCUAUCCUACACCUCCUGUUGUGUUUUUUCCCCCCCAUCCGAAUGGAGUGUCCAGCUUGUGGAUAUAAUGGACCGAUUUCCUGCUCUGUUCCCCCUCUGCUUUCCUGCUCUGUUCCCCCCUCUGCUUUCCUGCUCUGUUCUCCCUCUGCUUUCCUGCUCGGUUCUCCCUUUGCUGUCAUGCUCGGUUCUCCCUUUGCUGUCAUGCUCGGUUCUCCCUCUGCUUUCCUGCUCUGUUCCCCCUCUGCUUUCCUGCUCUGU